AGGCAUAAGCUAGCUUGACUGCGAGAGUGACGGCUCGAGCAGGUGCGAAAGCAGGUCUUAGUGAUCCGGUGGUUCUGAAUGGAAGGGCCAUCGCUCAACGGAUAAAAGGUACUCCGGGGAUAACAGGCUGAUACCGCCCAAGAGUUCAUAUCGACGGCGGUGUUUGGCACCUCGAUGUCGGCUCAUCACAUCCUGGGGCUGAAGUAGGUCCCAAGGGUAUGGCUGUUCGCCAUUUAAAGUGGUACGCGAGCUGGGUUUAGAACGUCGUGAGACAGUUCGGUCCCUAUCUGCCGUGGGCGCUGGAGAAUUGAGGGGGGCUGCUCCUAGUACGAGAGGACCGGAGUGGACGCAUCACUGGUGUUCGGGUUGUCAUGCCAAUGGCAUUGCCCGGUAGCUAAAUGCGGAAGAGAUAAGUGCUGAAAGCAUCUAAGCACGAAACUUGCCCCG
rnacentral:rRNA from 1 species